rnacentral:rRNA from 1 species
CCUGAAUCAGUAUGUGUGUUAGUGGAAGCGUCUGGAAAGGCGCGCGAUACAGGGUGACAGCCCCGUACACAAAAAUGCACAUGCUGUGAGCUCGAUGAGUAGGGCGGGACACGUGGUAUCCUGUCUGAAUAUGGGGGGACCAUCCUCCAAGGCUAAAUACUCCUGACUGACCGAUAGUGAACCAGUACCGUGAGGGAAAGGCGAAAAGAACCCCGGCGAGGGGAGUGAAAAAGAACCUGAAACCGUGUACGUACAAGCAGUGGGAGCACGCUUAGGCGUGUGACUGCGUACCUUUUGUAUAAUGGGUCAGCGACUUAUAUUCUGUAGCAAGGUUAACCGAAUAGGGGAGCCGAAGGGAAACCGAGUCUUAACUGGGCGUUAAGUUGCAGGGUAUAGACCCGAAACCCGGUGAUCUAGCCAUGGGCAGGUUGAAGGUUGGGUAACACUAACUGGAGGACCGAACCGACUAAUGUUGAAAAAUUAGCGGAUGACUUGUGGCUGGGGGUGAAAGGCCAAUCAAACCGGGAGAUAGCUGGUUCUCCCCGAAAGCUAUUUAGGUAGCGCCUCGUGAAUUCAUCUCCGGGGGUAGAGCACUGUUUCGGCAAGGGGGUCAUCCCGACUUACCAACCCGAUGCAAACUGCGAAUACCGGAGAAUGUUAUCACGGGAGACACACGGCGGGUGCUAACGUCCGUCGUGAAGAGGGAAACAACCCAGACCGCCAGCUAAGGUCCCAAAGUCAUGGUUAAGUGGGAAACGAUGUGGGAAGGCCCAGACAGCCAGGAUGUUGGCUUAGAAGCAGCCAUCAUUUAAAGAAAGCGUAAUAGCUCACUGGUCGAGUCGGCCUGCGCGGAAGAUGUAACGGGGCUAAACCAUGCACCGAAGCUGCGGCAGCGACGCUGAUGCGUUGUUGGGUA